CCUACGGGCGGCAGCAGUGAGGAAUAUUGGUCAAUGGACGAGAGUCUGAACCAGCCAAGUAGCGUGAAGGAUGACUGCCCUAUGGGUUGUAAACUUCUUUUAUAUGGGAAUAAAACGUUCCACGUGUGGGUCUUUGUAUGUACCAUAUGAAUAAGGAUCGGCUAACUCCGUGCCAGCAGCCGCGGUAAUACGGAGGAUCCGAGCGGUAUCCGGAUUUAUUGGGUUUAAAGGGUGCUGAGGUGGAUGGUUAAGUCAAUUGUGAAAGUUGGCGGCUCAACCGUCUAAUUGCAGUUGAGACUGGCAGUCUUGAGUACAGUAGAGGUAGGCGGAAGGCGUGGUGUAGCGGUGAAAUGCUUAGAUAUCACGAAGAACUCCGAUUGCGAAGGCAGUUCACUGGACUGCAACUGACACUGAGGCUCGAAAGUGUGGGUAUCAAACAGGAUUAGAUACCCUUGUAGUC
rnacentral:rRNA from 1 species